rnacentral:rRNA from 1 species
UACGUAGGGAGCAAGCGUUGUCCGGAAUCAUUGGGCGUAAAGCGCGCGUAGGUGGCUCCGUAAGUCCGUUGUGAAAGUCAAAGGCUCAACCUUUGAAAGCCGAUGGAUACUGCGGAGCUAGAGUACGGAAGAGGCGAGUGGAAUUCCUGGUGUAGCGGUGGAAUGCGCAGAUAUCAGGAGGAACACCGGUGGCGAAGGCGGCUCACUGGCUCAUUUCUGACGCUCAGGCGCGACAGCGUGGGGAUCAAACAGG